rnacentral:rRNA from 1 species
ACGGAGGGUGCGAACGUUAAUCGGAAUUACUGGGCGUAAAGCGCGCGUAGGCGGUUCGACAAGUGGGGUGUGAAAGCCCAGGGCUUAACCCUGGAACUGCAUUCCAAACUGUCGGGCUAGAGUAUGGUAGAGGGAGGUAGAAUUUCCUGUGUAGCGGUGAAAUGCGUAGAUAUAGGAAGGAAUACCGGUGGCGAAGGCGGCCUCCUGGACCAAUACUGACGCUGAGGUGCGAAAGCGUGGGGAGCAAACAGG